AGAUAUAGCUCAGUGGUAGAGCAGUGCUUAGCAUGCAUGAGGUCCUGAGUUCAAUCCCCAGUAUAUCCG
rnacentral:tRNA from 1 species